rnacentral:lncRNA from 1 species
UCAGAAUUACACCAUCUGCUGAGCCACACUACUGGCUUCCCUGGCUUUCCAGUGUGCAGACAGCAUAUCGUGGGACUUCUCAGUCUUCAUAAUCAUGCUGUAUAUUCUUUGAGAUACUUGAGAUCUUUCUGGUUCAUGCCCUCAUCUGGAAAAUGGAAAUAAUAACAUCUCUGCAUGGAGAUGACAAAGUGUGGGUACAAUGCCUACCACACUGUAGCUACUCAAGAAAUGGAAGUCACAAUCAUUCUCAUGCCACCAGCCUACUGAGCAGGAUCAAUGUUCUGGUGAUGUUCUGCAUCCAGACCAUCUUUCAAGAACUGAAUGGUUACUACCCUGGGUCUUCUACCGAAAGAAAGAACAUGGGUGUGGGCAUUCAAGUAUAGCCUCUAAAAAAAGAACACAUAAGUGGUUGCUGGGUGCUG